rnacentral:lncRNA from 10 species
GUGCCCCUGGGAAAUGGCAGAGGAAGACAGCUUCAGCCUCAGAGCACACAGCACUGAGUUGAGAGUAUAAGGGAAAGAAAUAGUCCCUUCCUUUCUUUGGAGAGAAGGAAUCCACAAGCUGGAAGGAGGGACCCUGGCACGAAGAAAGGCACAGGCCCCUCCAUAACUUGUUUCUACCACUCCCCUUUGAGGGCCCCUGGGGAAGGUUGGUUAGUCUUGAAUCUGUGCCCAGGAGAAACCAAAAAUCCUUAGUGGGGUUUCUCCCUGUCCUAGGCCUCCUGUCAGAGCUAGCGGAGAUCUGCUGGAAGGAGGCCGGGAGGAGGGGAUGUACGGAUGCCAUCAUGCCUGGAUGGAGGACCAGAAGGUCUUUAUAACAAGUAUUUGUGGAGCUCCUAAUAUGUGCCAAACUGUGGUAGACCUGGAUACCCAGAAACACGGCCACUCCCCUAAAGGAGGUUGCAGGCUAUACCAAUUAAAAUAAUUAUCUCAGUCCCUUCUUAUCAACAGAGUCGUCCAUGGAGACUAUUUCUCCCCCUGCCCCAGGCACACAGAAGCCUUGAGGCUUUCAUUGUGGCCCCACGGUGACAGCACACCCAGGUGGCACUCUCAGCUUAUCACUGAUUUGCAGAGCUGCUGUCUUGCAGCUAAAAGCAAUGUGCUGGUGGAUUUUUAAAAAGAAGUUCUGAGAGGCUUCUUAGAAGGUCUUUCUCCACAUCACUAACUAUUCGGAUUCCGGAGCACGGUGCCAAGCCCCUCCAUUUACUGCAGCCUUGCCCUUCCUCUCAAGAUCCAGCCGCUAAUGCUAUGGGAUGGCUGGUGGCCCCACUUGGGCUCCCCCAACCCCCACCUCGACCCCUAGCUUCCGCCUGUUUGGAGCUGUUAUCAGAGGAAACAGACUUGAACAUGACGGAGUUGCUGUCUCUUGGGCCUGACCAGAGAGUUGUGUUUUCUUGGCCUAUAUCACCUCAGAUUUAUCCUCGGCCUGACCGCAGUCAUUAUCAGCUAAAUUCACCAUCUCUAGAUGCCCAGAAGAUUUCAAAAGUGGACUAUAGGCUGCCAGUUGGUGUUAGAGUUCAGAGAAUCCCUGGACUUCAGCACUAGAAAGGAGCAGCUGCUAUGUCGGGGGUGUCAGGGGCUGGAUGCAGGGGCUGUUGCACUGAUCCCAGCUUGCUCCAUUCACAAGCCCCUCAUCCAUCUCUGAAGACUGGGACCAAAGCCAGGGCUGGGGCAGGCCUCUCUGGGCACAGGGGCCUGUUAGCAUUGGUUUCAUUCCUUCACCAAGAGGCCUAAAGACAUUGGAAUGAUGAGGCAAUUAAUGUGAAACAGAAACAAGUGGCUUUAGUUCCAGGCAUUUGAAACUGAAAGGAAGCUGUUGACAUUCUUUGAGACCCACUCUAGGCUAUGAUUUUUGCUGUGCUAGCCAGAACUCUGCUACUUACUUGAAGUAGGACCUUGGGAAAGUCCCUUCUCUAGGUCUCAAUUUCCUCAUAUGUAAAAGUGCAUCUGGGAUUAGUCAAGACCCUUCCAAGCCUGACAUGCUAUGGUCUAAGUGUCCCAGUAAUCUCUCUGUCACCCAGGGAUCAAAGAUUUACAGAUGUGUAGGAGAGAUGGGGAGGAACACACUAAGAUAUGUCCUUGUGAGUUUAGUUAACUAAAAGACUGGGGGAAAGAAAGGGAAGUAAGAAAAUAAAGUGAAAAGGUGGAAGAAGGCAGAGUGUAAAAGAGGGAGAUAAGGAAAGUACAAAAGAUAGAGAUGUCUGCUGCAAUUUCUCAGUACUCUUCAGAUACAUCCUGGCCAGGUUUACUUUCUUAGGGGCAGGGUAGAUUGUGAGGGUGUGGAAAAUGGUAUUUUU